rnacentral:lncRNA from 1 species
AAGAUAUGAGAUUAGAUGAUGAAAUGAAUAUCAAAUAAGAUAUGAAAUUAAAUGAUGAUAUUAAUUGUCAACCUAGCUAUGUAAAGGAUUAGUUGCAAAGUGGAUAUGCGACAUAUCGCCAGCAAAUUUGCUACAAACCACCAACAGAUUCGUGGUUUCUAUGGAUUGCGCUGCAAGGUGAUAUGCAACAAGCUAUAAGAUAAUAUGUAGUCGAUCGUAAGUUAAUAUAUAGUCCACUGU